rnacentral:rRNA from 1 species
CCUACGGGAGGCAGCAGUGGGGAAUUUUGGACAAUGGACGCAAGUCUGAUCCAGCCAUGCCGCGUGCGGGAAGAAGGCCUUCGGGUUGUAAACCGCUUUUGUCAGGGAAGAAAAGGUUCUGGUUAAUACCUGGGACUCAUGACGGUACCUGAAGAAUAAGCACCGGCUAACUACGUGCCAGCAGCCGCGGUAAUACGUAGGGUGCAAGCGUUAAUCGGAAUUACUGGGCGUAAAGCGUGCGCAGGCGGUUAUGCAAGACAGAGGUGAAAUCCCCGGGCUCAACCUGGGAACUGCCUUUGUGACUGCAUAGCUAGAGUACGGUAGAGGGGGAUGGGAAUUCCGCGUGUAGCAGUGAAAUGCGUAGAUAUGCGGAGGAACACCGAUGGCGAGGGCAAUCCCCUGGAACCUGUACUGACGCUCAUGCACGAAAGCGUGGGGAGCGAAACAGGAUUAGGUACCCUGGUAGUCCCACGCCUAACGAUAGUCACUGUUGUUGGUAGGGUUCGUUCUUCUAGUACGUAGUACGUACGCGUGUAGU